rnacentral:rRNA from 1 species
GACGAACGCUGGCGGCGUGCUUAACACAUGCAAGUCGAACGGAAAGGCCCUGCUUGCCGGGUACUCGAGUGGCGAACGGGUGAGUAGCACGUGGGUGAUCUGCCCUGCACUUCGGGAUAAGCCUGGGAAACUGGGUCUAAUACCGGAUAGGAGCCAUUUUUAGUGUGAUGGUUGGAAAGUUUUUUCGGUGUAGGAUGAGCUCGCGGCCUAUCAGCUUGUUGGUGGGGUAAUGGCCUACCAAGGCGGCGACGGGUAGCCGGCCUGAGAGGGUGGACGGCCACAUUGGGACUGAGAUACGGCCCAGACGCCUACGGGAGGCAGCAGGGGGGAAUAUUGCACAAUGGGCGCAAGCCUGAUGCAGCGACGCCGCGUGGGGGAUGACGGCCUUCGGGUUGUAAACGCCUUUCGCUAGGGACGAAGCUUUUUGUGACGGUACCUAGAUAAGAAGCACCGGCUAACUACGUG